GACGAACCGUCCAAACGUUGUUCGGAAUCACUGGGCGUAAAGGGUGCGUAGGCGGGUCUUUAAGUCAGGGGUGAAAUCCUGGAGCUCAACUCCAGAACUGCCUUUGAUACUGAGGAUCUUGAGUACGGGAGAGGUGAGUGGAACUGCGAGUGUAGAGGUGAAAUUCGUAGAUAUUCGCAAGAACACCAGUGGCGAAGGCGGCUCACUGGCCCGUUACUGACGCUGAGGCACGAAAGCGUGGGGAGCAAACAGG
rnacentral:rRNA from 1 species